GACGAACGCUGGCGGCGUGCCUAAUACAUGCAAGUCGAACGCAGUGGGGACGGGUGAGUAACACGUGGGUAACCUCCCAUCAGAGGGGAUAACACGUGGAAACAGGUGCUAAACCGAUACUGAUGGAUGGACCCGCGGUGCAUGAGCUAGUUGGUGAGGUAGCGGCUCACCAAGGCCACGAUGCAUAGCCGGCCUGGGAGGGUGAUCGGGCCCACGUCGAAUAAGACACGGCCCAGACUCCUACGAGGGGCAGCAGUAGGGAAACUUCGGCAAUGGACGAAAGUGUGACCGAUCCACGCCGCGUGAGUGAAGAAGGUUUUCGGAGCGUAAAACGCUGUUGUUAGGGGAGCGGUAUCUAACCAAAAAGCCACGGCUAACUACGUGCCAGUAGCCGCGGUAAUUC
rnacentral:rRNA from 1 species